rnacentral:rRNA from 1 species
UGGGGAAUAUUGCACAAUGGGCGCAAGCCUGAUGCAGCCAUGCCGCGUGUGUGAAGAAGGCCUUCGGGUUGUAAAGCACUUUCAGCGAGGAGGAAGGUGGUGAGCUUAAUACGCUCAUCAAUUGACGUUACUCGCAGAAGAAGCACCGGCUAACUCCGUGCCAGCAGCCGCGGUAAUACGGAGGGUGCAAGCGUUAAUCGGAAUUACUGGGCGUAAAGCGCACGCAGGCGGUUUGUUAAGUCAGAUGCGAAAUCCCCGGGCUCAACCUGGGAACUGCAUUUGAAACUGGCAAGCUAGAGUCUCGUAGAGGGGGGUAGAAUUCCAGGUGUAGCGGUGAAAUGCGUAGAGAUCUGGAGGAAUACCGGUGGCGAAGGCGGCCCCCUGGACGAAGACUGACGCUCAGGUGCGAAAGCGUGGGGCAGCAAACAGGAUUAGAUACCCUGGUAGUCCAGCGCUGUAAACGAUGUCGAUUUGGAGGUUGUGCCCUUGAGGCGUGGCUCCGGAGCUAACGCGUUAAAUCGACCGCC